UACGUAGGGGGGCUAGCGUUGUCCGGAAUCAUUGGGCGUAAAGAGCGUGUAGGCGGCUCGAUAAGUCCGCUGUGAAAGUCCAGGGCUCAACCCUGGGAUGCCGGUGGAUACUGUCGGGCUCGAGUCCGGAAGAGGCGAGUGGAAUUCCUGGUGUAGCGGUGAAAUGCGCAGAUAUCAGGAGGAACACCAAUGGCGAAGGCAGCUCGCUGGGACGUGACUGACGCUGAGACGCGAAAGCGUGGGGAGCAAACAGG
rnacentral:rRNA from 1 species